CCUACGGGUGGCAGCAGUGGGGAAUCUUUCACAAUGGACGAAAGCCUGAUGGAGCCACGCCGCGUGCAGGAUGAAGGCCUUCGGGUUGUAAACUGCUUUUAUGAGCGAGAAAUAUGAUGGUAACUUAUGAAUAAGUAUCGGCUAACUACGUGCCAGCAGCCGCGGUCAUACGUAGGAUCCGAGCAUUAUCCGGAGUGUCUGGGUGUAAAGAGUUGCGUAAGGGGGAUAAUAAGUAGCUAGUUGAAUCUGGUUGCUCAACCAUUCAGACUAUUAGCUAAACUGUUAAGCUCGAGACCGUUAGGGGUAACUGGAAUUUCUAGUGUAGGAGUGAAAUCCGUAGAUAUUAGAAGGAACACCAAUAGCGUAGGCAGGUUGCUGGGACGGUUCUGACACUGAGGCACGAAAGCGUAGGGAGCAAACGGGAUUAGAUACCCCAGUAGUC
rnacentral:rRNA from 1 species